GUAAUAGCUCACUGGUCGAGUCGGCCUGCGCGGAAGAUGUAACGGGGCUAAACCAUGCACCGAAGCUGCGGCAGCGACGCUUAGGCGUUGUUGGGUAGGGGAGCGUUCUGUAAGCCUGCGAAGGUGUACUGUGAGGUAUGCUGGAGGUAUCAGAAGUGCGAAUGCUGACAUAAGUAACGAUAAAGCGGGUGAAAAGCCCGCUCGCCGGAAGACCAAGGGUUCCUGUCCAACGUUAAUCGGGGCAGG
rnacentral:rRNA from 1 species